rnacentral:rRNA from 1 species
AGACGUCUACAUUAGAUACCCGUGGUAGUCCCAGCCGUAAACUAUGCGCGUUAGGUGUAUCGGUGACCACGAGUUACCGAGGUGCCGAAGGGAAACCGUGAAACGUGCCGCCUGGGAAGUACGGUCGCAAGGCUGAAACUUAAAGGAAUUGGCGGGGAGCACCACAACGGGUGGAGCCUGCGGUUUAAUUGGACUCAACGCCGGAAAUCUCACCGGAUAAGACAGCAGAAUGAUUGCCGGGCUGAAGACUCUGCAUGACUAGCUG